rnacentral:rRNA from 1 species
AUUGAACGCUGGCGGCAUGCCUUACACAUGCAAGUCGAACGGCAGCGGGGACUUCGGUCCGCCGGCGAGUGGCGAACGGGUGAGUAAUGUAUCGGAACGUACCUUUCAGUGGGGGAUAACGUAGCGAAAGUUACGCUAAUACCGCAUAUUCUCUGAGGAGGAAAGCAGGGGACCUUCGGGCCUUGUGCUGAUGGAGCGGCCGAUAUCAGAUUAGCUAGUUGGUGAGGUAAAGGCUCACCAAGGCGGCGAUCUGUAGCGGGUCUGAGAGGAUGAUCCGCCACACUGGGACUGAGACACGGCCCAGACUCCUACGGGAGGCAGCAGUGGGGAAUUUUGGACAAUGGGCGCAAGCCUGAUCCAGCCAUGCCGCGUGCGGGAAGAAGGCCUUCGGGUUGUAAACCGCUUUUGGUCGGGAAGAAAAGGCUCUCUCUAAUACAGGGGGCCAUUGACGGUACCGGCAGAAUAAGCACCGGCUAACUACGUGCCAGCCGCCGCGGUAACAC